CCGGAUGGGGGUCACAUCUGGUUCAGAAAACCAAGUCCCCGAGGAGAUCAUCACUGGAUCUCUGUAAUCAGGGUCCAGUUGUCCUCCCACGUCCUGGCUGAAGUCUGAGGGUGGGGCAGAGCCUCCGGGACUCUGAGUGAUUCUGAGUCAGAGAGGACAGGCCAGGACACUGGCUUCCUGAAGGGUGUUGGUCACAUGUGCACACAGGCAUGUGUGUGCACAUACUCAGACACACAUAUAUGCAUGUGUACACACAAACACGUGCGCACCCAUGUACGCAUACGCAACUUAGCGUCUUUGCUAUGGUCACAGUCACACACAUAGAUAAUGUACCCGGGGAUCUGCGUGCAGACCAGUUUAGCUGCAGAAAGAACCGUUCUUGAAGUGUAUUCUGUCCAAGUCUGUAGGUGGUGGGUGAAAAUGGCUCUAAUAGAUGUAGCCCCCCAGUGAGACUUGCGUGGGCAGGCAGCCUUUCAAGGGUUGGGAAGAAUGUGAGGCUUGGAGGGGCUGGGGAAGUAGAGGGAUCUGAGCUGGGUCUUCACAGGCAGGUAGGAUUUGAAUAAAUGAAAGGGCAUGGGGGCAUUUAAGAUACAGGAGGCCGUGUAAAUAAAGGUUGAGGGCAUUAGUGGCUCUGGUGAGUGGUGACAGCAGGCUGGUGGGACCAGAAUGGCAGGUAGUUCGGGAGAACAGUCACAGCAACAAGGUCUGGCAGAUAAGGCGGGUCAGACUGAAGGGGGCUUGAAAGUCUCCACAAUGGGGUGGACAUUAGAAGCCAUUGAUGUUUCUUCAAAAGGACAAGAAGAAAAGGAAGGGACAUUGAUAUGCUUUCUAGUCACCAGAUUCUGUGCCAGGUACUUUACGUUUAUUUACCCUUCGCCAGAGUCCUGUAAGGCAAGAAAAUAUUAUUCCUAGUUUUACCAAUGAGGCAACCGAGGCUCAGCUAGAUGGUAUUACCAGCUCAGGGUGGUGCAGCCGGUAACUGAUGUGGCCAGUUCCAAACUCACUUUCCCCCAGUUCCAAAGCUCCUGUCUGUUCCCUGUAGCACAUUGCCUCCCAAGAACAGCAGCAGAGCUAAAAUUAAUUUAAGGAAAGAUUCAUCUAGCUGCAGUGAAGACACAGAUUGGAGGCUGGGGUCAGGGGACCUUCUAUUGAAAUAAGCAGGAGUGAGAUGAAUGUACAAGAUGAGCCUGGAACCUGUCACAUCAGAAAGCAAGGAUACCAUCAAAGUGGACACAGGAGCCAAAGUGGUUCCUACCGGCCGAAGACGAGACAAUGCAAACAUCAAUUAGGGUAAUAACUGCAGGGGAUUGAUCGCAAUGGCUUAAAAUACAUCAGAUAUGUUCAACUCCAGGCCUUUGUCACAAUACUAAAAGUAAGACACUCCCUGGCCACUUUUGGAGGAGUUCAUUCUUUGGGAAACGUGUCUAAGAAAGGAAAAUAUCCAGCGUUCUCAAGCACUCCUUCUGCUUUUCCCAUAUGAAGUGUCUCCUUUUAGAAGCCUUCUGGCUAAUAACUGAAGAAGGAGCUGUAGAAUUAGAACAUCACCGUGUGCCAGCCUCUCACGGAUGAAUGGAUCUGGCCCCAGUGCCUAAUAAUAUCCCAAGAAGAGCUAACCAGGUAGAUAACCAUAUACCUCCUCAUGGAAAGAACACCGCCACUUUGGGUGUUUCUGGCCAAAAACAAUCAUGCUUGAAUUGGAUUAAGCCUCUCGAUCUACAUAUGAACUCGCAGGAAUGUCAAAGGACAGAGAAACAUAUUAAGGGACAUCUUGGGGAUGCGAUCAACAAAAUCCAGACUGCGGGAUCACUGACUGGAUAUCUGAUAUUCAUCGGGAAUUGAUAUCGUUUUUGAAAGGAAUGGUUCUGGUUUUGUGGAUUUGUGCUAAAAAAACAAACUCUGGUCUUACUGAGAAACCUUCUGGAGUAUUUAUGGAUGAGAUGAUACGAUGUCUGAGGGGGGAGUUUGGAGGGUGGGGGUAGUUGUAGAUACAACAAGGCUGGCUGUGAGUUGAAAAGUGUUGAAUUCAGGUGGUAGAAAGGCAUCGUCUUCUCUGGCAUCUGUUGAAAAUGUGCCUCGGGUGGGAUGCUGCUGCUGCUGCAGUGGCAAAGGGAAAGCAGUGCGUAGCGGGGAGGUUUAGAAGGGACAGGAGAAUGAACCAGAGCUGGAUCUGGGGCACCGGGGGAGGGCGAGGCAUGGAUGCAUCUAAGCCCCUGACCCCCAUCAGUGUGCUGGCAGCAUAUGGUCCAGCACCACCCAGCUCCUGACUGCAGACAAGCUCUUCUGCCUUGGAAGUGCUGAGAAGUGUUGCCAGCCCAACCCGGAGGACCGUCUGCCAAUUGUUAAUGAUCUGCCAGAAUCCCAGCUCCAAGGCCACCUCAAUUGUGCCGUCUUCUGAGGCAAUCAUGCCCCCUCCCGGGCUCCCCUGGUCCUCAUUCAGACUGGCCCGGAUCACAGUCUCACCUGCAUUUCGGAGCCCUGUGCAGAACCAUCAGUAAUGGUUAAGACUUCCGGCUAAGCGGUGCCCUCCUCCUGAGUAUCUGACGUCAGCUCUCAAGUGCUCCUGCAAAUUGAAGCGAAAAAGCUGGCAUUCACGUCCUCGCAGCGACCCAAACCUAGAGUCACCUCCAUCUGCCGCCUGGACUGCCGGCAGCAUCCACCCUUGUUCCUUUAAUUCAUUUUCCACCACAGACGGGAAGGAUCUUUCUAGCAUGCCGUUUGUCACGUCCUUCUUCUGGCUGAAACUCUUCCGGGAUCUCAGCUUUCCCUUUCAGAAUGAUCUUGAAGACUCUGGAGGACCCUCAGGCAGUUCAUGAAGCCUGAGGCUUGUUGUUAACACUGUGACCGUCUCCAGUGAACUCCUGGCUGGGCCCUGCUGACACUCUCUGCCUCCUUUUCACUGCCUUGUCCGGGAGCCUCUCCGGUCUCAUCUCUGACUCUGGGCCCUUCAUCCCCUUUCUGCUAGCAGAGGUGGUCCUAUCAUCAUCCCGAGGCCCGGCUGGGGCUGGAUGGGCUGGCCUUCCACGGUGGCCCAGACUGCUGCUCCUCGUGAUCUCAGGGGUCUGAGUUUAUUGUGGAGGCUGCUGGGCUGGUGGAUUCCUUCUUCCCUGUGCUCACCCCAGAGGAGUUGCCACAAAGUGCUGAUCUUCCGGUCACAUUGAAAGUAGCACAUUUGCGUGAACGGGGCCCCGGGAGAGCAUUUCCACGCCCAAGUCGCCGAAGCAUUUGCGGAAAGCUCCGGGCCAGGUCAGCUGUUCCCAUUUUGUGAUACUGCAAGUGACCCUUCGGUGUCUGGGAAUGCAUUUUUCUGGUGUAUCAGUUCCUCUAGAGAAGGAUCGUCUAUCCAUUGGCUUGGGAUUUCCCCAUUUGUGGGCAUUCUGGAGCCAGGAAGGAGCAGAGGGCGAGCUGUCUCACCUGUCAGUGUGCAAGCCUUCAUUCAAUUCCCUUACAUCCAGUCCUAGACCCUCCACCACCACCUCCUCAAUACCUGCCAACUGUGAGGAAAGUGAGGUCUGGAUAAAGUAAGUGAUUUAUUCAACAGCUCUUCUGAGAAAAUUAGUGGCAGAGCAAGGUCAUGUGCCCACAACCACUUUUAUGAUUCUACUUUACCACUUACUUGGAUGUUUUGAGGAACAAAAGAUCACCUUUGACCCACACCUGGAACCCUGAUCUCUGAUCUCCUACUUUUGGAAUCAACCCACUUCGAGAUGCAGAGCCCAGAUUUCUUAAAGCUCUGUGGUCUAUGGAUUCACCAUACUCUAAGUGUUGGUUUCCCACUUCCGUCCCUCCUCCCUGGAUACUGACUGCCUCUAGAUCCAACCUGGGUAUGUAUAUGGGAUAUAUACCAUGAUGGAUCCUGAAGAAAUGUGAAGGCAUGGGAAGUUGGGAUUGUCUCCCUAUAAGACAAAUGCUCUUGGAUUGAUCCAACCAGCAGGCAUUCGCUGAAGGCUACCUGCGCACACAAAGCUAAAAUACAUGGUGAUACCAAAUGCUA